UAGCUCCUACUGCCUAAGGCUGUGAUG
rnacentral:piRNA from 1 species